AGUACACACGCUUCACCUCUCUCUGCACUGCAAAAUUUCCCCGCUUGGUAGUCUCUGUUACGCAAUAGUCUCCAAAGCAAAAUUAGGGCUUUUCCAUCGUCUCCAACCAAUUGCUUUUAUCUUCGCUAGUCGUCGCUGUCACGCCCUCCUUCGUCUGUUUGUUGUCUCCCCGUUCUCCAUUGGAGCAGAGGAAGGUCGCCAGUCACCCUCCGUCGCUGCCGGUCUUCGCACAGCAGGGCAAGGUUGCCGAUCAUGCUCCGUUGCCGCCACUCUUCGCACAAGGUCGCCGGUCACUCUUCACAAAAGGUCGCCAUCGGUCGCUGCUGCUGAAAUCUCCGGUCUCCAUCGCAAGUGAAAGGACUGUAUCUCCAUAAUGUUACUGAGACUAGGCUUAUGUAGACACUUCAAGAGGAGAAAAAUUGCAUAUCAAUUUUGAUGUCACCUUUCCAGCCAUCCGGUGUUCAUUACUUAGUGUAGAUGCCAUGGAUAUUAGUGGGAGCAACAUCUUGACAUAGUAUGUGGUGUAAAACGUUCUUUAAAAAAAAAAAAUCUUUUGCACUAUUUUCUUGUCUGCCAUUGCUCUUAUGCUCAUAGUUCUCUCCAUGAUGACUAAUAGAGACAUGAUAUAUUCAUGAAAAGAAUUGAUUCUCAUGGUAAUGUUAUUGAAGUCAGACAAGAAGGAAUUUGUGUACCUAAGGUAAUGCGCUGAUAUCCCCUCAUUUUUUUUUCCGUUUCAAAUGGAGGUCUGUUAAACAUUGGAAUGAUCUAAGUUGAAAUAAUGGCGAACAAGUGACAAUGGGAUGAAACUGAUCCUCAUUAUUUCUAUAUCACCAUCUACAUAUAUCUCAAGAUGUCGUGAGCUAAAGCUUGAUGGAUGUCUUGGCAACUUUUUCUACACUUGAAUUUCCAUUUUUUAAACAACAGGUUUGAGGUUGGUAGAGCUGAAGCAACUUUGCCAAUGGAGUUUCAGGGAAGUGGAUUAUGUCACUGAUUGGUUUGGAAGGACCUGAGAAAUCACUUGCAACUGAGAUUGAUAGUGAUCUAAUUCAGAGUUGAGUUCAGUCGUAAUGAUAAUGCUUCUACAUCAGUUGAAGAUUUCAAAGUAUCUUCAGCUCCGGUUGCUGUUGGUUCACCUUCAUGCUCACACCAAUUGGAGGAUGCAGCUCAAAUUCAAAAGAGUAUGAGAGAAGAAUGGGCAGUCAUAUGCAUUCAAACAGCUUUUAAAGGAUUUCUGGCUAGGAGAGCUCUACGAGCUUUAAAAGGAUUAGUGAGAGACUUCAAGCACUAGUCCGAGCAAGGCGUGUUCACAUGGCAUUGGAAAGCCAAAUUGCACAUUAGAAGCUUCUAACAGGAUCAUAUAGCGUUUUACAAAGCGAAUUUUUGUUUUUAUUAUUAUCUAUUUCUAUGUCAAGGAAUUGAAGUAGUUGAAGAUCUUUUUGUUGACAGGUUCAAGAGGCUUCAGUGGAUGAAAUGGCAUGACUAUCCAAUUUCAAUGAGACAGGAACUCGAGGGGCAUACCAACAUUUGAAGUGGCAGGGAAUUAUUGCAUAUCUAGAUGUACUCAUCAAAUCGGACCUUCUCCCCAAGACAAAGGACUUCCAAAGUGUUGACCUCAAUAGUUUUGAUGAAGAUGAUAAUUGUUACCAAUCUUUAUGUGCAUAGAAUUGUAUAUAUUCUCGUGUCUAGUUUGACCUUAUUUAAUAUUAAUCAUUUGUAUCACAUUACAUCCUUGUAAUUCAAUAUUAUACUAUGAAAAAUAUUCUUCUAUUUUGAACAUUUAAUUGAUGCUAAAAUAUUUUAUUUUCAAUU